rnacentral:lncRNA from 1 species
GAAUCUCUAGAAGAACUUAUAUUUAGGAACGGAGGGAGUACAAGACAUGAUUUACACUCUUUUGUAGAAAAAGAACGUUGAGACAAUCACCAGCCUUUCACACGGUCACACCAUGCAAAAAAAGGAUUUAGCCAUGCCGAUCUCCCCUACCUAGCCGACAAACCGCAACAAGAAGUCGUCAAUCUAAAGCAUGAACCCUUGGUUUCCAUUGAUGAACUUGCAACAAUAAAUUUUGGCAUAGUUUCAAACAAAAAAAGAACUAUCUAUAAAUAUAUUAUGCUCAUUUGGUCUUUAAACGGGGCAUGUUCACCUGACCCUUUCUGAGAUGCAGCUGCAUGAUGAUUCUCCAUCUGUAACAUGUUAAAACCAUCCAUGGUAAAGCAAUGAAAUCCGUAGAACUAUAUAAUUGUUACAAUUGAUGUUAGACUCUAGACAUUCAUAAAGUCAGAAUAGGAUGAGUAAAUAGUUGCUUCCUAUUUGGAUUUAGAUCACAUCUUAGUUAAGAAAUACAUAGAUACAAAAUUUGUAGUACAUUACAGGGAGUAUUAGGUCAAGAUAGAAAAAGGCAAGAUACAUUUAAGAGGUUAAAAAAACAAAAUUAUUAUCAUGUCAUGGGGCAUUAUAAUAACUGAAUCAAUCACUUAGAACUUUUGGACAUCGCCGUAUCAAAAUAACGUUACCUACCUUUGUACAACGUAAUUAAUCGGGGCCAGAUCAACUUGUUUUAUGAAGGGCGUGAAAGUUGUUGGUGAGACAAAAAAAUUGUUGACACUCGUAUUUUUCCCACACAUAUAUGCGAAUAAGGAGAAACAUCAUCCUUCAGUAGAGCUGUGUUGAGGAAAUAUGAAAUAAACCUGUUAUGCUACGGGUCCGCUCCAAAAGAAUGAGAAGUUCUUUACGGCUUAAUGUGUGAAAGCCUUCCAUGUCUUGCUCUUCAGACUAGGAGAGUAGGAAUCGCUAGGAAUAUCAAAAUAUCAAUGGGUCCCUACAAGUUAUAAAGUAAACCCGAUGGUUGCACUUCCCUAGUUUCAGAAAGGGGAAGCAUAUAAAAGCCUAAAUAUAUAAAUAAAAGGUCUAAUCCAUUAUUAGCCAACAUCUCCUACGACUGAAUGUAAAUCGUUCCAAUUAAGAAGAAAUUAAACUAAAAAUAGAAGGACACUCCUCACAAAUAGCUAGCAAUACAUAGAUAUUGUGUUCACCUUGGAAAUAUGAACCCCAGGCUUCUAGGUGCUCUAGAACAUUUGAUACAAAUCAAGGCACCAAAAGUAAAUGAUCUGCAAAGAGCAUAUCACAACAUUUGAAAAUUACAAAUAAUGUGGAACACUCAGACUCAUAUACCAUGUUGGUAACAAGUUUCGUAAGAUUAUAAAAAAUACAGAUAGUGUUGUAACUUAACUCUGCCAUCGUCGACCCGGCAAGGCCGAGAAGUAGCUCCCGCGCCCCCGGAC